CCCUAUGGGGCGCCCGGGAACAUAAUUUAAAAAACAUUUCCGUCGAUAUCCCCAGAGACAAACUUGUUGUGAUUACAGGGCUUUCCGGUUCAGGGAAGUCCUCUCUUGCUUUUGACACUAUAUAUGCCGAGGGGCAAAGGCGUUAUGUCGAGUCCCUCUCCGCGUACGCCCGGCAGUUCCUCGGACUUAUGGAAAAGCCCGAUGUUGACCUCAUAGAAGGGCUUUCUCCCGCGAUAUCAAUAGAACAGAAAACGACACACCGGAACCCGAGGUCCACGGUGGGAACGGUCA
rnacentral:rRNA from 1 species